rnacentral:rRNA from 1 species
AUUGAACGCUGGCGGAAUGCUUUACACAUGCAAGUCGAACGGCAGCACGGACUUCGGUCUGGUGGCGAGUGGCGAACGGGUGAGUAAUGUAUCGGAACGUGCCCAGUCGUGGGGGAUAACGUGGUGAACAUUACGUAACUACCGCAUAGGACAUGGGGAUGAAUGAGGGGAAACGAAAGCCGUCGCCAGCUUGGGGCGGACGACAUCAUAUUAGGUAGUUGGUGGGGUAAAGGCUCCCCAAGCCAACGAUCUGUAGCUGGUCUGAGAGGACGACCAGCCACACUGGAACUGAGACACGGUCCAGACUCCUACGGGAGGCAGCAGUGGGGAAUUUUGGACAAUGGGCGAAAGCCUGAUCCAGCCAUUCCGCGUGCAGGAUGAAGGCCCUCGGGUUGUAAACUGCUUUUGUACAGAACGAAAAGGUUUCUACUAAUACUAGGAGCUCAUGACGGUACUGUAAGAAUAAGCACCGGCUAACUACGUGCCAGCCGCCGCCGUAA